UGCAGAGGACCACGCCACAGACCCUAUCCAAU
rnacentral:piRNA from 1 species